rnacentral:rRNA from 1 species
AUGUGUUCGUUGGACAUUUUGACGCAACGAGCAUCCAAUAGGAAUUUCCUUGCUCUCUCUCGCUCCACGGCGACCAAACAAGCCCGGUACGUGGACCAGGCCCACAGAAAAUACGACCCAAUCCUUCUCGUGAACGGCUCAGAUGUGCGGGAUGCGGGCCAGCGGCGCGGCAGCGUCGUGGGCGGUGGAGCGGACGCGCACCUCUACGACGACCCGGACGGCGCCGCCAUCCCGGCGCUCGUCGACUCCCGCUUCGACGGCGACAAGCUCGACGCCCUCAAGCACCUUCUCGCCCUCAUCUCUCCGCAGGUCCGGCUAGCGUCCACCCUCUUCUCGUCUCCUCUCGUCUGUCUCACGCCGUGGAUUCAGGCACGGAAUUGCGUCUGUGCUUGCUGCGCAGGCGGCCAUGAACUGGCGGCUUAG